CACCUGUGACCGCCGCCGCCACUGUUCUCUCGGGAUCCAUCCUGAUCCAGCAGCCGAUCCAGCCAAGCACCAGCUCCACCCAUCAAUCCAACCCGCAGCCAGCCACUCCCUUCCUCGUUUUCAACAUCAGAUCAACCAGAGCCCCGCCACCUCCGGCUAAUCUCCAGUUCCGCUCCACAUCGUCCCCAACUCAGGUCAUGGCUCUGCCCCGCUCACUGUUUCUCCUUCCCUUUUUCUUCUGUUCCCUCUGGUUCCCUCUCACCUCCUUCCCGUCUUCUCAAGGAACCCACAGAAGGUCGCCGCCGGCAUGAACGUCGCCUCCUCAAGCUCUCCGCCUGGGGCCUUCUUCUGCUUCGAUCCAGCUCCGUCCUCCGCGCCAAACAAGGUCUGCAUCGCCGCGCGCCUGCAUCCGCGAGGGAGACGACGUCGAUGCCUCCCUGGUUCCUCUGCAAUGUACGCCCAUCCCCGACCGAUUCUGCAGAGACGCCGCCCGUCUUCUUCGUUCACAGCGAGCACGGCUGCUGUCCUGCUCGCGCACGUCAAGUUCCUCUUCAUCUUGCUGCCAAGUCCGUGUCGCCUCGCCGUUGUACCCCGUCCUCGACCUCACCAGCAGGCCCCACGCCUCCCUCCAUGCCGUCCAGGAACAGCGCUCGCCCGCCUCCAUGCUCGUUUUGGUUCGGGAGAGGAGCUUCCGUCCGCACCAUCCCAAGCCGGACCUCGCCGAAGGAGCAGCAUCGCCUCCCUGACCUUCGGACUGGCCGGAUCCGCCGCGCCUGCGUGGACCUUGCCCCUUGCCCGGAACCGCCGCCUGCAGGUCUCUUCUCGGUCGGGUCCGCUGUUGUCACUGUUUCUCUGUCGAACGAGCAAGCUCGAACCCCGGCGCCAAGUCCAGCCUGCUCGAUCCCCUGCUUCAGGACCGAGACAUCGAACGCUGCCGCCGCACGUUGACCGUCCAGCUUGCCGAGGCCCAGCGCCAGAUCGCAACAUGGCCCAGAUCUGCCAGCUCCCUGUUGGCCCAAUGUGAGCAGCCCAGAUCCACCUAAUUCGGCCCCUAUUCCAGAUUCGGCCCAUGUAGUUUUUUUUAUGUUCUGUGUUUUAGCUAUUUUUCCAGAGGAGAGCAGUUUUUGCAGAGAACCCCUUGCACUUCAUGCAUUUUAAAACUCACAAAUCGUGCAUCAUAUAUAUAAACUUUAUAUAUGAAACUUGCUUAGAAUUUUGUCUAGUUAAAUAAUU